UUCAGACGACCCUGGAGAGGAACCAGAACUUGCUGCACAGUGUAUUGAGAAACUUUGAUCUCUUCUGUCUUUUGAGAAGAGACAGAUAGGUGGGCGUGACACAGGGACUGAGCAGCGGGCAGAAGAGGAGGUGUGUAACAAAAAAUAUCCUUUCAGAAAACAGGAGCUUCAGCGGAGAGGAAGCCUGGAGCUUAAGGAGUCUUCCCUUCCCAGAGAGACAGUUUCUCGAGGAUCUGGAGACAGAUGCAACUGUGAAACCCCCACGGUCUCCACGCUGAGGUGUCUGUGACUAAGAGCAGAGAGAUACCCAUUUCACGUUCAAGAUCAUGGGCCAAAAGAGAAUUGGGAGGAAGGGUCGAGAAUCCAUGCCAGUCUGGACACAUGUUAUUCGCUGGCAACACAGGGUGCUCUGCUUGACAAAGAUGAAACAGGAAAGCCAGCACUGUAUUCUGAACCCGCCAG